ACAACCAUAUCACGUUGAAACAUUGGUUCUCGUCCGAUCACCGAAUUUAAGCAAUGUCGAACCUCGUCAGUACCUAGAUAGGUGACUGCUUAGGAAUACCAGGUGCUGUA